GGAAUAAUUGUCAUCGGUAAGAUAACACAAUUGCUAAUUGUCUGGGCAACAACCCUUAGGCGUUCGACUCGCCUUUAUUCCG
rnacentral:tRNA from 1 species